UCUUUUCCUUUUCCUACAGAUGUCUCCUUCCCCACUGCUUCUAUUGUGUUUGAAGAGCCUUUUAUUUUCUAGGUGGCUGUGGGGUGGCUCCCGGAAUAUUGGAUGAGCCCCAUAAUGUCCUGAAGACUGCCCCUGAUCAAUAGAGUCCACUAGAUGGCGCCCAGAUCUACGCUGCGUGUUGCCUCAGCUAGGCUCAGGCCUGGGAAGGGCUGUGGAUUUUCUAAGAAUGGCUGGAAAGAUCAAAAGGAUUCAAGAGCACAGUUUCCGUAAGGUCGGCUCCAAAUUGUUGUAAGCCCGGUGCUCCUUCAAACUGUUAUUGUAAUGGGAUCCCCAAAUAUGGGCAAUGAUGGUGGUCUUUUUGUUUGUUUGUUUUUGAUGGUGUAAUUUUGAGUAGAGAAAACCUGCAAUUCUACUGUGUGAGACUUAACCAUAAGCAGGGAGACAGCCGUUUCGCUGCAUUUCACAGCCUAUUCAAGGACAAAUAGCAUGCUGGAGACUUAGAAGCUACACCUUAAUGCCCAAGUAUUGAUUUAGGCAAGGACACUGCGUUUUAUGGGAAAGGGAAACAAAAACUAGAAGGUAUCAAAAAAGGGAGAGAUUAUUUUAAUAAUAACCUUUCGUUUGGGCACAAACCGAACACUUUGACAACUGAACGCUUUGCUUGAUAUACAAAAUUGAGCCUAUAUUCUGAUGUUGCUUUUCAUAGUAGAAAUGAAGUGUUUUGUUUUUCUUUUGAAUAGCGCUGGGUAAUCUUCAUUUUGCAUAUGAAAUGCUGAAGGCUUUGUAGUGUUUAUAUUUUAUUACUCUUCUAAAAAGGGGCUGAUCGCUUCAAUUCAAAGUAGUGGAUAAUGACUUUGGCAGCAUUUCCCUGCCUUUUUUAAGUUUCUGGAAGCCCAUUUCUCAUCAUUAGGCUGAAGAUGCAGAUCAGAAAGGAUGAGCCUUAUUCUGGAGCUUGUCACAUCAAUGUUGGUUCUUAGGUGAUUAAAAAGAAGCAGCGGAUCUUGAAGAAAACGUCUGACAAAAGAAUGAUCCACAAAACUGUUACCAAAGAGGGAAGAAUUCGGAGGCAAAAAAGAACCAUGGUGAGCCCACACAGUUUGAUCAGGAAGGUGAAAGAUAUCUGUGCCUUUGGCUAAAGAGUCAAGAAAGAGGCUACAUGAACCUUACUUGAGUCAGUGAGCUGAUGGCCCAGAGAGCCAGAGCUUAGGGUCUCCUUACUCCAGUUGCAUUACAGAGGAAUGGCCAGAAUCUUGUUCAGUCUCCUCAGUUGUUCCCUUAAGUUUGAUGGCCAUUCGCUUUCACUGAGAUAUGUUACAAGAAACUACAGAGAUGUUGGGCCCCCAAUGUGAAGCCCACCUGAGAAAUUCCCUUGGAACUCAAGAUCAUUUGCUCCUGAAAUCAAAUGGAUGGGAAAGGGGAAGAUUGAGGCAUACAAGCAAGUGGCUUCAGCUCUGAGAGGCUGGUGUCUACAGGCUGCAAGCAGGAAGGGUCCAUGAAACUCACAGCAGCCCAGGAUGCUCUAAUGAAGUUUUAGACCUUUUCCCAAGAGGUGCAUCUCCUGAACAUGUCAGAUUGAGCAGAGUUUGCUAAUUUCACUCCUUCUCGAAUGCGCUAGGAAAGCAAAUUCGUUGGUCAGAGACCCAUCUCACAGCAUAGAUCUUUUUACUCCUGGCUUCAUGAGAAGGUAGAGAAUGAUCAAGAAAUAGAUGUUUUUCCAAGAAAUUCAGACAAACUGAAAAGAAAGGUAGUCCAAGGAUUUGGGGUUAACAAUUGUAUGUUGGCACCUUUGGAAAGGUCCAGAAAUCCACAUGUUGAACAUGAAUCUGGGGCUGCCAUUGUACAUUCCACAACUUGAUUCUCUGUAAUCAGUUGCUCAGGAUGACAUCUGAUCUCUGGUAGAUGCCCCUCAGGAUGGACUGAGUCUGCUGGAGCUUUUCCUAGGGCACAGUCUCCUGCAUCUCCAUGGUGGAAUGAAAAGGUUGGCCUGAGAUUUCAGCCACUGUGAACAGAAUUAGACAAGAGUGCAGAAAAGUAUAUUCUUCUCUAAGACAAUGCAGUUUCCUGGAGAACACCCACCAGGUUUGUGGUGAAGAGACCUAGUCCCAACCUUCAUUCUUCUCUGCUGGAUCUCUGCUAUCUCUAGCCUCGGACUGGCCACAUUGCCGCUGGGAGCCUCACUC